CUCAUACUCCCUCCGUCCGAAAAUAGUUGUCAUCAAAAUUGAUAAAAAGGGAUGUAUCUAGAACUAAAAUACAUCUAGAUACAUCCCCUUUUAUUCAUUUUGAUGACAAGUAUUUCCGGACGGAGGGAGUAUCAU
rfam:Triticum aestivum genome assembly, contig: Triticum_aestivum_CS42_TGACv1_scaffold_501111_6BL